CCUGGCCCCUAGUGGCAUUACAGAGUGGCUACUAUGUCCCAUGUGCAUCAGUAGAUGGCAGAGAGGAGAGAGGCUAUGUCUAUGUUCAGUGUUACGAACUAUGAACAUCUAAAUAAAUAAUAGCCUAACAUU